rnacentral:rRNA from 1 species
AACGUAGGUGGCAAGCGUUAUCCGGAUUUACUGGGCGUAAAGGGUGUGCAGGCGGGGUUGCAAGUGGUGUAUGAAAUCUCCCGGCUUAACCGGGAGGGGUUAUGCCAGACUGCAAUUCUAGAGGACGAGAGAGGGGGGUGGAAUUCCGGGUGUAGUGGUGAAAUGCGUAGAGAUCCGGAGGAACCCCAGAGGCGAAGGCGGCCCCCUGG